CAGUAGCCGCGGUAAUACGUAGGUGGCAAGCGUUGUCCGGAAUUAUUGGGCGUAAAGGGCUCGCAGGCGGUUUCUUAAGUCUGAUGUGAAAGCCCCCGGCUCAACCGGGGAGGGUCAUUGGAAACUGGGAAACUUGAGUGCAGAAGAGGAGAGUGGAAUUCCACGUGUAGCGGUGAAAUGCGUAGAGAUGUGGAGGAACACCAGUGACGAAGGCGACUCUCUGGUCUGUAACUGACGCUGAGGAGCGAAAGCGUGGGGAGCGAACAGGAUUAGAUACCCCAGUAGUCCCUGUCUCUUAUAC
rnacentral:rRNA from 1 species